rnacentral:lncRNA from 1 species
CCACCGCCUCGGCCUUGUGCUCGUCCCCACCACUCUGCAGCCACACCAGGCGCUGGGUCACCCUCCGGUGCGGUGCCACCCAGCUGUGUGUCCGCACGGGGAGCUCCCCCGUCCUACUGCCCCUCCAGCCCAGAUCCCGCACUCAUCCCCUCUGGCCACCUCUCCCCAGCACAGCCUCCUUGCUCCCCCCACAGCCUGAAGUUCUACUGCAGCAGCCGGGGGCACAAAAACAGCCCGGAUCGAGCCCGGCCGCCCGCAUCCCACUCAGCUCCGAAAGGAGGCGAGGGGUGGGGAAGGGCUCUGGGUGAGCUCAGCACGGAGCAGGUGAGGAGGAGAUGCGUGAUAGCGGCGGGGUAGGACGAGAGCGAAGCUGCACGUGCACCCGGAACCAGACCGAGCCCGAGCCGCGCUGCCCCCGUCCCGCCGCUCCAACGCCCCGGCUCCGCUGCGCCCUCCGGCAGCGACCCGCUGGGACGGCACAGCCUGGGGGCAACGGGAGCGCUGCUGGUGCUGGUGCCGGUGCCGCAGCCGCAGCCCGCACCGGGGUCACCGCAGGCGGCGGCGCCGCGCUGGUUUUAUGGCAGAUCUCAUGAUGCGUUUAUGGCCGCGCUGGCAACUGCCGCGGGUGCUCCCGGCCCCGCAUCCCGCUGGCACUGGGGUGGAGGAUGGCAGCCGAACUUUGCCCGGCGAGGUGCGGCUCCCGCGAGAGCUGCGGCACCGCGGCUGCGUCCGCCCGCUGCCGGGCACCUGGAUGGGGAGCGGGGUCCCGCCCGGCCCCUGCGGAGCGUCCUCCACCCCCGCGUGUCACCAGGGCCGCGCUUUGGUGCCGAGACCCCGCGUCACGUAGCGGCCUGGCGGCGUGGAGCAGCGCGUAGCAGGCUCGGCCAGAGGAGGGACCCUGCGGCUCCCAGCGCCGCUCUGGGGAGCCGGGGGGGGGGGGAGGCACAGCCCAUGGCAGCCGGCCCCCCCAUGUGACGCCAAGCUGGACCCCGCCGCCCCGCAGGAACCGACCCCGGGCCCGACUCCGCCCCC